UUGUGUUUGAUCAAAGUCACACUAUGUACUGUCAAUGUAUGAAGAGGUCAACAUUUACAUGUGACUUAAGAUUAUUUACAACAUUAAGUUACCAAACAGAAUGCAGCUGAAAACCAGUAAACCUUUUGUUGGUUAAGAAAAAAAGACAUUAACAAGCAGUGGUUAGACAGGACAAAAUACUUCUCCACAAGAUGUCGAGCAGAGAUUUCGCCCUGAAGACUCAAGAACGACAGGCUAAUUCCGUGGUAAAAUACUAGGAGAAGUCUUUUCGCCUUGUUGUGCGCUUUCAAGAACUUCGCGAAAAUUACUUUCACAAUAAUAAUAGAAGAC